rnacentral:rRNA from 1 species
GAUGAACGCUGGCGGCGUGCCUAAUACAUGCAAGUCGAGCGAACGGACGAGAAGCUUGCUUCUCUGAUGUUAGCGGCGGACGGGUGAGUAACACGUGUAUAACCUACCUAUAAGACUGGGAUAACUUCGGGAAACCGGAGCUAAUACCGGAUAAUAUUUUGAACCGCAUGGUUCAAUAGUGAAAGACGGUCUUGCUGUCACUUAUAGAUGGAUCCGCGCUGCAUUAGCUAGUUGGUAAGGUAACGGCUUACCAAGGCAACGAUGCAUAGCCGGCCUGAGAGGGUGAGCGGCCACACUGGAACUGAGACACGGUCCAGACUCCUACGGGAGGCAGCAGUAGGGAAUCGUCCGCAAUGGGCGAAAGCCUGACGGAGCAACGCCGCGUGAGUGAUGAAGGUCUUCGGAUCGUAAAACUCUGUUAUUAGGGAAGAACAUAUGUGUAAGUAACUGUGCACAUCUUGACGGUACCUAAUCAGAAAGCCACGGCUAACUACGUG